GUCCACGCCCUAAACGAUGACAACUAGUUGUUGGGGAUUUAACAUCCUUAGUAACGUAGCUAACGCGUGAAGUUGUCCGCCUGGGGAGUACGGUCGCAAGAUUAAAACUCAAAGGAAUUGACGGGGCCCGCACAAGCGGUGGAUGAUGUGGUUUAAUUCGAUGCAACGCGUAAAACCUUACCUACCCUUGACAUGCCAGGAAGUCCGAUGAGAGUUGGAUGUGCCCGAAAGGGAACCUGGACACAGGUGCUGCAUGGCUGUCGU
rnacentral:rRNA from 1 species